rnacentral:rRNA from 1 species
UACGAAGGGGGCUAGCGUUGCUCGGAAUCACUGGGCGUAAAGCGCACGUAGGCGGAUUGUUAAGUCAGGGGUGAAAUCCUGGAGCUCAACUCCAGAACUGCCUUUGAUACUGACGGUCUUGAGUCCGGGAGAGGUGAGUGGAACUCCGAGUGUAGAGGUGAAAUUCGUAGAUAUUCGGAAGAACACCAGUGGCGAAGGCGGCUCACUGGUCCAUUACUGACGCUGAGGUGCGAAAGCGUGGGGAGCAAACAGG